rnacentral:rRNA from 1 species
AUUGAACGCUGGCGGCAGGCCUAACACAUGCAAGUCGAGCGAGAGGCGGAGGGGGGAGUAAUGUAUGGGGACUGCCCCCGAGAGGGGGGGAACUCCUGUAGACGGUAGCUCUUACCCCAUACUAUCGGAUUACCCAUAUGUGAUUAGCUAGUAGGUGAGGUAAUGGCUCACCUAGGCGACGAGCCCUAGCUGGUCUGAGAGGAUGAUCAGCCACACUGUGACUGAGACACGGCCCAGACUCCUACGGAGGCAGCAGUGGGGAAUAUUGCACAAUGGGCGCAAGCCUGAUGCAGCCAUGCCGCGUGUAUGAAGAAGGCCCUAGGGUUGUAAAGUACUUUCAGCCGGGAGGCGUUACCGACAGAAGAAGCACCGGCUAACUCCGUGCCAGCAGCCGCGGUAAUAC